rnacentral:rRNA from 1 species
GCCCAUUAGCAAGCCUACAAACUUAAAAACAACAAACCACAUCAAUAACCCCUCAACCCCUGAAUAUCAUAAACAAAUCAUUUUUCCCUCCUAGUAUGUGCGACAGAAAGGAGCCAUUAAUAAGCAACAGAAAAAGUACCGCAAGGGAACGCUGAAAGAGAAAUGAAAACAACUCAGUAAAGCAUAAAAAAGCAAAGAUUA